GUGAAUCAUCAAAUCUUUGAACGCAAAUUGCACUCUCCUCGGAGAGUAUGCCUGUUUGAGGGUCAGCCUGUAAAAAAUCGACAUCGUUGCUGUUUCGCGGUGGCGUUCGUCGGAAAUUGGGUCAUCUUAAAUCUUUUUGUUUUAAGCGACUUAAAAUUUUCUUUUUGUUUCAUGAAAGUUUUCUAGGAUUAUUUUCUUUAAACUUCAAGGUUAUGGUUUUUUAUUGACGUUGACAUUCAUAU
rnacentral:misc_RNA from 1 species